GCCUUUUGUGUGAUUAAUGUGUGAAUUAUCCCACGUAGAGUUUUUCAAAGCUUCAUUCCAAGGCUUGGAUCAAAAGUGUACGUUCAUUGCAGCAGGAUAUGAAGCACAGUAAGAGGCUCACCACAUUUAUCACACAUGGGUCUCACAAGAGUGGAUCUCCACUGGCAAAAUGCAAUCUCGCCGGAAGACCAUACAGCAUUGUAGAGGCAAAUGAGAGUUGCUUGUGUUU
rnacentral:lncRNA from 1 species